CAUGCUCUUCGUUCCGCUCAGCUCCCGUUCCAGCAAAUAGUGCCAAAAUCUCAUUCUCCCUUUCUUUCAGGCUUUCUUUUUCUUUUCUCAUUAAAAGACACAAGCAAAAAUAAGCGUGUGUCAGAGUGCGUUGCCAUGGCAAUAAUGUGAAAAUGAGGCAUUGGUGUUGAUCUGAGUCCAUCUAAACUUUUUUUAAAGGUCUUUAAAGAACAGGAAGGGAGCACAGAGAAGGGGAGAAAGAGAGCAGGAGAGCAAAAGGGGGAGAGAGAAGCCUGAAAAAGUGGCACGAAAUAGCUGGAAAUGCAUUUGGGCUGACAUAAUUCCCCUUUCCCACAGUGGUCAUUCACUUGGGAGGCUCCAGUGUCCAUUCACUGUCUUAAAGCUAGCUUUUCAGAGCCUAGGGAGGCCAUCUUUCCCUGCCUGAAUGCCUUUUUUGUUGCAAAACAGUGAACUGUUUCUGAAGCCCAGCAUAAAGGAGGAAAAACUGCUGGCAGCAUGGUUCCACAUUUAUGCGUGCUCUCUUGCUCUCAUAUACAGAGAGACGAUGCAACAGGCUUUACAGACAAUUUUAUGGUCCAGAAGGUAGAAAAGGCAACAAGGGGAUCGGCUACUCUUGAUCUCAUCUUAACAAAUGUGGAAGACCUGAUCAAUGCAGUCGAAGUGGUCGGAUCCUUAGGGGCAAGUGACCAUGUGCUCCUGCAGUUCGCCAUACAAAGGAAGGUUAAAACUAAGACAGGUCAAAUACACAUUCUGGACUUUAAAAGAGCUGACUUCCAAAAAAUGAAGGAAAUACUGAGCGGCAUUCCAUGGACACCAAUACUAAAAGACAAGGGAGUUAAGGAUGGAUGGUAGAUUUUCAAAAGUGAAAUACUCAAGGCACAAAUGCAAUUACAGUUUGUAUAUUUUGUUCAGACUCUAAUGUUCUAAUGUUUUAUGUUUAUAUUUUAUGCUGGUUUGUAUGAUUAUACUAUUUUACCUGUUUUACAUUGGUUUAAUCAUGCUAUAUUUUAUUGUAUUUUGGAACAGGGCUUGUCCUCAUGUGAGCCGCCCCGAGUCCCCUCUGGGGAGAUGGGAGCGGGAUAUAAAAAUAAAGUUAUUAUUAUUAUUAAAUGCAAACAGUGGCAACAAAGAAAAAAAAACAAGUGCAAAGAAGCCAGAAUGGAUGUCCAAAGAAUUUCUAACCAGGCUAAGACUCAAAAGAGACAUGCACAAGAAGUGGAAAAGGGGAGAAAUCACCAAAGAAAAAUUCAAACAAAUAGCCAACUCUUGUAGGGAAAAGGUUCGCAAGGCUAAAGUGCAAAAUGAGCUCAGGCUUGCCAGGGAUAUUAAAAACAACAAAAACUGCUUUUUUGCUUAUGUUGGUAGAAAAAGGAAAAACAAGGGGGUGAUAGGGCCUCUGCGAGGAGAAGACGGGGUGAUGGUGACAGGGGACAGGGAAAAAGCAGAACUACUUAAUGCCUUCUUUACCUUGGUCUUCUCACAAAAAGAAAGUCGUCUUCAACCUCAGCAACAUGGAAUGGAUGAAGGAUUAGGGGAAAUCCAACCCCAAAUAGGGAAACAAGUUGUCCAGGAACACCUGGCCACUCUAAACGAAUUCAAGUCCCCAGGGCCAGAUCAACUACAUCCAAUAGUAUUGAAGGAACUAGCAGAAGUUAUUUCAGAACCAUUAGCAAUCAUCUUUGAGAGCUCUUGGAGAACGGGAGUAGUCCCAGCAGAUUGGAGGAGGGCGAAUGUGGUCCCUAUCUUCAAGAAGAGAAAAAAGAACGACCCAAACAAUUACCGUCCAGUCAGCCUCACAUCAAAACCAGGAUAGAUUCUGGAAAAGAUAAUUAAGGAAGUGGUCUGUGAACACUUAGAAACAUAUGCGGUCAUCACUAAUAGUCAACACGGAUUUACCAAAAGCAAGUCAUGCCAGACUAAUCUGAUCUCUUUUUUCGAUAGAGGUACAAGCCGUGGUUAUAGCAUAUCUGGAUUUCAGUAAGGCCUUCGACAACGUCCCCCACGACCUUCUGGCAAACAAACUAGUAAAAUGUGGGCUAGACAAAACUAUAGUUAGGUGGAUCUGUAAUUGGCUAAGCGAACGAACCCAAAGGGUGCUCACCAAGGAGUCAUCUUCAUCUGGGAAAGAAGUGACGAGUGGAGUGCCGCAGGGUUCCGUCCUGGGCCUGGUUCUGUUCAACAUCUUUAUUAACGACUUAGACGAAGGGUUAGAAGGCACGAUCAUCAAGUUUGCAGACAAUACCAAACUGGGAGGGAUUGCCAACACUCCAGAAGACAGGAGCAGAAUUCAGAACGAUCUUAACAGACUAGAAAGAUGGGCCGAAACUAACAAAAUGAAGUUCAACAGGGACAAAUGCAAGAUACUUCACUUCGGCAGAAAAAAAUGGAAUAUAAAGAUACAGAAUGGGGGACGCCUGGCUCGACAGCAGUACUUGUGAAAAAGAUCUUGGAGUCCUCGUGGACAACAAGUUAAACAUGAGCCAACAAUGUGAUGCAGCGGCUAAAAAAGCUAACGGGGUUUUGGCCUGCAUCAAUAGGACUAUAGUGUCUAGAUCCAGGGAAGUCAUGCUACCCCUCUAUUCUGCCUUGGUCAGGCCACACCUGGAAUACUGUGUCCAGUUCUGGGCACCUCAAUUGAAGGGAGAUGUUGACAAGCUGGAAUGUGUCCAGAGGAGGGCAACUAAAAAGAUCAAGGGUCUGGAGAACAGGUCCUAUGAGGAGUGGCUUAAAGAACUGGGCAUGUUUAGCCUGCAGAAGAGAAGGCUGAGAGGAGACAUGAUAGCCAUGUAUAAAUAUGUGAAGGGAAGUCAUAGGGAGACUAGGACGUGGAACAAUGGCUUCAAACGACAGGAAAGGAUAUUUCAUCUGAACAUCAGGAAGAAGUUCCUCACUGUUCGGCAGUGGAACUCUCUCUCCCGGACUGUGGUGGAGGCUUUUAAGCAGAGGCUGGAUGGCCAUCUGUCAGGGGUGUUUUGAAUGCCAUUUCUUGCUUUGGCAGGGGGUUGGACUGGAUGGCUCAUGAGGUUUCUUCCAACUCUAUUAUUCUAUUAUUCUAUGAACUGUACACUGUUUUUAAGGCAUCAAACAGUUGCCUAUGUGUAAAGAUGUCUUGAGUCCCCUUCGGGAUUGAGAAAGGCAGGGUAGAAAUGUCGUAAAUAAAUAAAUAAAUAAUA